GAACCAGACUCCUACGGGAGGCAGCAGUGGGGAAUAUUGCACAAUGGGGGAAACCCUGAUGCAGCGACGCCGCGUGAGUGAAGAAGUAAUUCGUUAUGUAAAGCUCUAUCAGCAGGGAAGAAAAUGACGGUACCUGACUAAGAAGCCCCGGCUAACUACGUGCCAGCAGCCGCGGUAAUACGUAGGGGGCAAGCGUUAUCCGGAUUUACUGGGUGUAAAGGGAGCGUAGACGGCAAUGCAGGCCAGAUGUGAAAGCCCGGGGCUCAACCCCGGGACUGCAUUUGGAACUGUGUAGCUGGAGUGUCGGAGAGGCAGGCGGAAUUCCUAGUGUAGCGGUGAAAUGCGUAGAUAUUAGGAGGAACACCAGUGGCGAAGGCGGCCUGCUGGACGAUGACUGACGUUGAGGCUCGAAAGCGUGGGGAGCAAACAGGAUUAGAUACCCGCGUAC
rnacentral:rRNA from 1 species